AUCUUACAAUGGAAAAUAUAACAAUUGAAUAAAAUGUGGUACUAUAAUAAAACCAUGGACUUUCUAUGUCUCUAACAGAGUGAUGAUGGAAAUGCAGAGGAAGAGGGUCCAGCCACUUCUCCAACAAACCUUUCCUCACUCCCUGUAAAGCAGCUGUACAAGACCUAUUUGAUCAAGAAAAU